AAGGAUCAGAACAGCACUUUCUUGGCCCAAAACGACAUCGAGACCCUUUUGAUGUCUCCGAGUGGAGUCUGAUUGAGCAAUCACUCUAGAAUGGAAGUAGAUACCUCCAGGGUCAAGUAACUUUGCCAUUUCCAACGCAUAAGGACGUUCGCCCAUUGUAUAAAUGUACAUCUCGAACAAACUACUGGCUUCUUUCAGGAAGGUGUGGACAAAUGGCCUCAGCUUUGUCAUCAUGUGUAUCCAGUCCAAUUUGAAAAGGUUGCUUCUUAAAGCAUCAGGCAGUACUUCUCGUUGGUCCUUCAAGUAUGAUUCUUCUGCAGAAAUAUCUGCAAGUCUAGUUGAGUUCAGAAGUGUGUGGUCUAAAUCUAGAACCAAGAUCAGCUUUCUGUGCCGCAGUAAAUUUUUCAGGUCCUUUUCACGCAAUCGAGCAACUUCAUCAUCUGCAAGCCUCAAAUUCUUGUGUAUGUAUCCAAAAGCAACACCAGAUUCAUCUUCCACCUUCUGCCCACACCGUAUACACAUCCCUCCCAUGACACCGGGAUGAGUGCAUACAUCCAGGGCCAAAGAUGCUCCUGAAGUUUCUGCUGAUUCUCCACGAGACACUAAACUCUGUGGAUCAACUGCAGCUUCAAUCAACUCAAUUUUACGCUUCUUUGACCUUCUCGAAUCUAUGUUGCCAUCAUCACCAUCACCAGUGUCGUUGUCUU
rnacentral:misc_RNA from 1 species